UAGGUAAUCUGCCCUCGAUUCUGGGAUAGCCCGGGGAAACCCGGAUUAAUACCGGAUAGCCUCUCGAGCUUUCGAGCUUGUGAGAAAAGGUAGCUUCGGCCUCCGAUCGAGGAUGAGCCCGCGGCGGAUUAGCUUGUUGGUGGGGUAAUGGCCUACCAAGGCGACGAUCCGUAGCUGGUCUGAGAGGACGAUCAGCCACACUGGGACUGAGACACGGCCCAGACCUCCGUACGGGAGCAG
rnacentral:rRNA from 1 species